rnacentral:rRNA from 1 species
AACGAACGCUGGCGGCAUGCCUAACACAUGCAAGUCGAACGAGACCUCCGGGUCUAGUGGCGCACGGGUGCGUAACGCGUGGGAACCUGCCCUUAGGUUCGGAAUAACUCCCCGAAAGGGGUGCUAAUACCGGAUAAUGUCUUCGGACCAAAGAUUGAUCGCCUUUGGAUGGGCCCGCGUUGGAUUAGCUAGUUGGUAGGGUAAAAGCCUACCAAGGCGACGAUCCAUAGCUGGGCUGAGAGGAUGAUCAGCCACACUGGGACUGAGACACGGCCCAGACUCCUACGGGAGGCAGGAGUGGGGGAUAUUGGAAAAUGGGCGAAAGCAUGAUCCAGCUAUGCCGCGUGAGUGAUGAAGGCCUUAGGGAUGUAAAGCUCUUUUACCCGGGAUGAUAAUGACGGUACCGGGAGAAUAAGCACCGGCUAACUCCGUG